rnacentral:rRNA from 1 species
GAUGAACGCUGGCGGCGUGCCUAAUACAUGCAAGUCGAGCGAACGGACGAGAAGCUUGCUUCUCUGAUGUUAGCGGCGGACGGGUGAGUAACACGUGGAUAACCUACCUAUAAGACUGGGAUAACUUCGGGAAACCGGAGCUAAUACCGGAUAAUAUUUUGAACCGCAUGGUUCAAAAGUGAAAGACGGUCUUGCUGUCACUUAUAGAUGGAUCCGCGCUGCAUUAGCUAGUUGGUAAGGUAACGGCUUACCAAGGCAACGAUGCAUAGCCGACCUGAGAGGGUGAUCGGCCACACUGGAACUGAGACACGGUCCAGACUCCUACGGGAGGCAGCAGUAGGGAAUCUUCCGCAAUGGGCGAGAGCCUGACGGAGCAACGCCGCGUGAGUGAUGAAGGUCUUCGGAUCGUAAAACUCUGUUAUUAGGGAAGAACAUAUGUGUAAGUAACUGUGCACAUCUUGACGGUACCUAAUCAGAAAGCCACGGCUAACUACGUGCCAGCAGCCGCGGUAAUACGUAGGUGGCAAGCGUUAUCCGGAAUUAUUGGGCGUAAAGCGCGCGUAGGCGGUUUUUUAAGUCUGAUGUGAAAGCCCACGGCUCAACCGUGGAGGGUCAUUGGAAACUGGAAAACUUGAGUGCAGAAGAGGAAAGUGGAAUUCCAUGUGUAGCGGUGAAAUGCGCAGAGAUAUGGAGGAACACCAGUGGCGAAGGCGACUUUCUGGUCUGUAACUGACGCUGAUGUGCGAAAGCGUGGGGAUCAAACAGGAUUAGAUACCCUGGUAGUCCACGCCGUAAACGAUGAGUGCUAAGUGUUAGGGGGUUUCCGCCCCUUAGUGCUGCAGCUAACGCAUUAAGCACUCCGCCUGGGGAGUACGACCGCAAGGUUGAAACUCAAAGGAAUUGACGGGGACCCGCACAAGCGGUGGAGCAUGUGGUUUAAUUCGAAGCAACGCGAAGAACCUUACCAAAUCUUGACAUCCUUUGACAACUCUAGAGAUAGAGCCUUCCCCUUCGGGGGACAAAGUGACAGGUGGUGCAUGGUUGUCGUCAGCUCGUGUCGUGAGAUGUUGGGUUAAGUCCCGCAACGAGCGCAACCCUUAAGCUUAGUUGCCAUCAUUAAGUUGGGCACUCUAAGUUGACUGCCGGUGACAAACCGGAGGAAGGUGGGGAUGACGUCAAAUCAUCAUGCCCCUUAUGAUUUGGGCUACACACGUGCUACAAUGGACAAUACAAAGGGCAGCGAAACCGCGAGGUCAAGCAAAUCCCAUAAAGUUGUUCUCAGCUCGGAUUGUAGUCUGCAACUCGACUACAUGAAGCUGGAAUCGCUAGUAAUCGUAAAUCAGCAUGCUACGGUGAAUACGUUCCCGGGUCU